rnacentral:rRNA from 1 species
UACGUAGGGGGCAAGCGUUGUCCGGAUUUACUGGGCGUAAAGAGCGUGUAGGCGGCCAAACAGGUCCGUUGUGAAAACUGGAGGCUCAACCUCCAGACGUCGACGGAAACCGUGUGGCUAGAGUCCGGAAGAGGAGAGUGGAAUUCCUGGUGUAGCGGUGAAAUGCGCAGAUAUCAGGAAGAACACCAAUGGCGAAGGCAGCUCUCUGGGACGGUACU